rnacentral:rRNA from 1 species
AGAGUUUGAUCCUGGCUCAGGACGAACGCUGGCGGUGUGCUUAAUACAUGCAAGUCGAACGAAGAGGCCCCUCGGGGUACUUCAGUGGCGGACGGCUGAGUAAUGCAUAGGUAACGUGCCCUUAACUGGGGGAUAACACCGGGAAACUGGUGCUAAUACCGCAUAAGUGUCAGGUUGAAAUACCUGCCAUUAAAGAAUUUCGGUUAAGGAUCGGCCUGUGUUGGAUUAGCUAGUUGGUAGGGUAAUGGCCUACCAAGGCGACGAUCCAUAGUUGGUCUGAGAGGAUGACCAGCCAGAGUGGGACUGAGACACGGCCCACACUCCUACGGGAGGCAGCAGUAGGGAAUAUUGCGCAAUGGGCGAAAGCCUGACGCAGCAACACCGCGUGGAGGAUGAAGCUUUUCGGAGCGUAAACUCCUGUCAGCAGGGAAUAUAAUGACUGUACCUGCAGAGGAAGCAUCGGCUAACUACGUGCCAGCAGCCGCGGUAAUACGUAGGAUGCAAGCGUUGUCCGGAAUUAUUGGGCGUAAAGAGUUCGUAGGUGGUUAUCUAAGUCUGGUGUUAAAGACGGGAGCUCAACUCCCGCAUGGCAUCGGAAACUGGAUGGCUAGAGUGUGAAAGAGGUNACUGGAAUUCCUGGNUGUAGCGGUGAAAUGCGCAGAUAUCAGGAGGAACACCUGUGGGCGAAAGCGAGUUACUGGUUCAUUACUGACA